UCACCUAUGAUUUGAGAAGCCAAUGGCGUGGCAAUGACGACAAGAGAAGAGUUUGAGAGGCCAUCACGGCAGAGCUGGAUUUAACGCACAAGGGAAGAGGCGGGAUGGGCAAAUUAAAUGGCGGGAUGGUAAAACCAAAAGUAUUUGUUCCAGGUGCCAAGGGUCACUUCCAAUAGUACCAUCAGCAGACCUGGCUAAGCUGGCUUAUUUUUAGAUCAAAUGAGCUGGCGAUAGAAGAUUAGGUAGUUUGCUGGAGGAAAGUAGAAGCACUCAAGCUUUCUUCAUUACCAUCAGAAAACCAGUGGCACUACCUUGCAGCCUUCUUCUCUUUUCUUCAUUAGCUUCUCUUUUCUUCCAGCUUGCUAAACAACUAUUUGUUGUUAGGUCCUACUUGGGCUCCCUUCCACUGAGAAGAGAAGUUCUCUUGACCUCUGCCACGCAACCCAGAGGUGACCAGUCCUAUGAAUUCCAGAAAGGCAAGCAUGUGACAAUCUGUAAGGGGGGAAGGAGGGGGUGAGGUGGACACUCAAGAACACAAUCAUCUGCACGUAGCAGCCCGGAUGCACAAGGAUUGCCUUGGAGAAGGAAUUUAGGGGAUGAGGCGGACCCACUUUCAAAUGAAUCGACUCAAGCAGUAGCAGGUGUUGGAGUACAAGAGUCCAUGGGUGUCAAAUAGGGUGGAGAGGGGAAUAAUACUAUGGAUAUAGUUCCAUCCAUUAAGAAAUGGGGCCGAGGGCCUACGCGGGGCACACAAUUUGAACACCUCUAGAAGGUGGGUAAGAUUCCUUUGCUUAUAAAGGAGGGUCAUAGAGGCCCAUCGUGCGAGAAUGCCUCCAUCUUCAUUGGUCGAGUGACAUAAAUCAUCAAAUUAUAUGCCGAAAUGAGGCAUGCAAGCUAGAGUUCUAUACCUAAGGAGGAGAAGCAAGAGUUAAUUAAUCAUGUUAGGGUGGACUUUGUGUUGGAUUGGACAAAAGACCACUAUCAUGAAAUUGAGGUAAUGUAUAUGUCCGAUAAGUACAAUGCAUAUUACUAUGAACUACACAAAGUUUAAUUAAAAUAUGCAUCGCAUGAGAAGGCCCUAUGUGGUGAGACAUCCAUGGUGGAGCAACCUGUUUGGUAGUGGCUAUGUGAAAGUUGGGCCAGCGGAACAUUCAAGGUAUAUGGGUAUUAGUAUAUAUAUUUGAAUAAAAACUAGUGGCAAUUUAAGUUGCAUUUGUUUUUGUUUAUAUGUACAUUCAGGUGGGAUUUAUUUUGCUACCUUUUUAAUUCCGAGCAGUAAGAUAAUAUUUUGGGACUUGAUAUAACAAUAAAAUGUGUAACAGGAGAAGUCUUGAGAAACAUUACAAAUAGGAAAAAACUUAAGGUGAAACAUACAGGCAGAAGGAAAUCAUUUGUUAGGAUUUUGAAAGAGAAGGUAAGAGCGGUUUCUGAUUUAUAAUUCAAGUUAUGGAAUUGUAUCUAAUGAGCUAUAACUGUUAAUGAUGUGUGGCAGUGGGAGACAGCACCAAAUAUGGUCGCUUUCUAUAAAGAAACACACUAGUUAAGGCAGAAGGACAAAUUUAUCAAUGCCACAACUGAACACAAUUAUGUGAACUUUCUCAUGUUUGAUUUAAUUUUUGUUGGACUAUAUACUGCAUUAAAAUAUCUAUACUGAUUUUCUUUCAUAUGAUAUUUAGAAUCUAAUGGUGGAGAAAUUGGCUGAGAAAGACCUCGAAGAGGACGUUGAUGAAGCGGCCUUAGUUGUUUUCAAAGACGUUUUAGGGUUUAGAUUUGGGUACGCACAAGGGAUGGGGCACAUGGUCAUUAUCGAUCCCUCUCCUUCAAUGAUGAAGAACAAGGCAUUUAUGCAUUUGGCUGAGCAGAAUGAAUGAAACAAGACUUGUGUAGAAAUGUAUAAGAGUAAACUAGACCAAAUUAUGGGUGAUAUGGCUGACAUGAGGAGAAAUUUUUCUGAGUAUGAGAAAGGAAUGAACUUCCAAAUGUCUGAGUUGGAGGGAAAUAGUGAGGCUCAUAGAGAGACUUAGGGAGAUGCUUGGGCAUCUCUAUUGCUGGAAGUAGGUUGAUUUUUUGUGGAUUUUUUUUGUGGAUUGUAUCAAUCCAAUGGCCAUGGUAGUUUGUAGAGAGGCAAAUAUUUUGAUGUGCAGUGUGGGAAGUUUUCCAUAGGGAAUCAAAUUUUUGGAAGUGGAAGGGAAAUGGUGGCUUCAGCUCAUGAAUGGGUCUGGUUUUAGGAAGUGUGUAUGAUCUGACUUUUGGAUAUGGGGAAGUGAUUUCACAACAGUGACACUAUGCUCUUAUGAUAUUUCUGGAUUAAGAGGCAUAGCUGUACAUAUGAAUGGAGAUGAAUUGGAGCAAACAAGAGAAGCGAUGAUGUGUAUAGAGCUAGAGUAAUGUGUCUAGAAUGCAAAAUAUGUAUACAUGUAGUCAGGCACAUGUGCACUACUCCCCCUAUUUGUUAUGUAAUCUGGUUCAAUGGCUCCGGUACAAGAUUUGUUAUAUUAAUUACUAACCAUGUAGGCUUCCCUUGGGCACUACUCCCCCUAUUUGCAAACAUUGAUGUAUAUAGUCAUGACCUUGAUUGACUGGUACUUAAGCCAGUGGAAAGAAGUGUAAAACAAUCAUUUAAAUUCUGUUAUAUAUGGAUGUUGAGGAAAAUUAUGUCGUUGGUGAAUUAUUCAGGUGUUGGUUUUC